rnacentral:rRNA from 1 species
CCGCACGCGCGCUACUCUGACUGGAUCAACGAGUUGUCCACCUUGGCUGAGGAGUCUGGGUAAUCUUGUAAAAUCCUCUCGUGAUGGGGAUAGAUUAUUGCAAUUAUUAAUCUUCAACGAGGAAUUCCUAGUAAGGGUGGUUCAACAGACCGCCCUGAUUACCUCCCUGCCCCUUGUACACACCGCCCGU